rnacentral:rRNA from 1 species
UACGUAGGGAGCAAGCGUUGUCCGGAAUCAUUGGGCGUAAAGCGCGCGUAGGUGGCUUCGUAAGUCCGUUGUGAAAGUCAAAGGCUCAACCUUUGAAAGCCGAUGGAUACUGCGGAGCUAGAGUACGGAAGAGGCGAGUGGAAUUCCUGGUGUAGCGGUGGAAUGCGCAGAUAUCAGGAAGAACACCAACGGCGAAGGCAGCUCGCUGGGACGGUACUGACGCUGAGACGCGAAAGCGUGGGGAGCGAACAGG